ensembl:snoRNA LOC120103326 small nucleolar RNA SNORA17
UCCGACCCUAGAGACACUGCGGGUGUGGCUGCUGCAACACUUGUUUCAGUAGUUGGCAGAGAGAGAGAGCCUUUGUCUACACUUGGUGUUCUGACCUAUAAACAUCUGAAUAACAAAUAGGCUAGCAUU